ACUACACCAUUGAUAACAAUUAUAGGACAUAAAUCAUCAUACAUUAUAAAUCAUCAUGUUUAUCACAAUUUUUUUUCACUGCCCACAACCUAAUUGACCAAAAUGUAAGUUUGAUUCUUGCUUUGGGAGGCUGAGCUCUGAUGUUUUGUAAAUCAUUCAUGAUUUAAUACUUCAAUGAAUUGAGCAAAUGGUUGAUUGCUUGUUUUUAGCCCUUUAAAGGAUUAGUUUUGGGAAAUUUAUAGAUUGGGUGUAUGAUCAACCAAUUUACAUAAUUUUACUUUUUGUACAUAAAGUUGUUCAAAGGAACUUUAGUCUGUUUGUAUAUUUUACAGUGUAUAUAAAUUCAUAAAAAGACCAAAGACAGCCAGCUUAAGGAAUGCAGCAAUAUACUGCGUAUUUAGCUGACAGAAGCAGCACAAGCUCAUUUGGAUGGCUCCAUAUUUUGUACACCUCCAUGCUGAUAUCAUUGAAAUGCUCCCAAAUCGUCUCGCUGUCAGAAAACAUAUCCCACACUCAUUUGAGUUCUUUUGAACUGCUGUUGUUUAGUCAUCACUCAUGUAACCGCUCACGCUCUCUGCAGGCAAAGAGAAACAGCGGCAGGGGAGAAUUCCCAUGUUGCUGGAGGUGAUGCCACAGAGCAGCCGAGACAACACACCAAUCACACAGAGACAAUGACUGGUCCUCCUGGCUGCUUUACAGAACAUCAGUCAAAUGGAGCUUUGUUAGCGCUGCAUUCCUCUGCAUUGUCCUUCUGUUUGCACUCCUUAAUCAAACAACGUUAAUUGCAUCUAUAUCAUAAAUCUGACAACCUAAAUUUCUUUUUUGCAGAUAUGCUUUGCUGUUUGUUGAUCGUGAUUGUACUGUCAGCGAUGAUUGUGCAUUAUUACUAAUAUUCAAAAUCACAACUGAAAUGAAAAAGGUUGCAUUUGCACCUGCACCCUCAAGUGUGGUGGGACUUAAAUGUGGCCUUGUUUUACUUUGGCUGUCGAAAUCAGUGGCUGCAGUCAACUUUGUUGAGUCUGUCACAUUAUCACAGUGUUUUCAUUAAACAGAAGGAGACAUGCAGAAAGACAGGGGGACAAUGACUGAUCCCCAGGCUGCCCUACAGAACGUUGUUCAGACAGAGCUUUGUUGGCACUGCAUGCCUUUGCAUUGUCCUCCUGUCUGCAGUUGUUUGAAUCACUGAUGCCAAUUAUGUCUUUGUCAUUUAGACCACUAAUAUUGUAAGUUGUAUUAUUUAUUCUUCUGCUGUAUCAAACAGCGAUUGUUCUACCUGGUGCUAUUUAUUCAAACUCAAAAUAUGGAAAGUAAAGACACACAAAAUCACACCGGUUUCCACUUCAGUUGCUGUUUUCUGGUAAACCUAAAUUUUGCUGGUGGACAAUCACUAAAUUAAAGCUGCAUUUUGAGCAUUUUGACUCAAAUCUCAAGUGGAAUAAAAUACUACGGGAUUGAUCAGUGUGUGCAGGCUGGCCAGCCACUCACAACCAUUUAAUUUACUGCUGCCUGCAGUCUUUCGGGCUGCUUUUGGGUGAUGGCUUAUGGAUGACUUUACUUUAAGUUUUGUUAGUAGUGCACUUUCACAUCCAUGCAGUUUCACCUCAAUUACAUUAUGAAGAUGCAUGACAAUGUGCAUUCCCAAAGUAUAGCAAAACUUUUAGAUGUAUUUCCAAAGUUAUCUGAAGAGAGGAGAGCCUGGAUAGGAAGAGAAUGGAAAAACUUGUUAAGGUGUUCUGUCUGCUGGCAGACUAAAUGUGACAGCUGUGACAGUGUGAGCUCCUGUGUGUGUUCUGGCCUCUUUACUCUGUAAACUGGAAGAGGAGUUAAGAAGGCUGAGAUGGGGAUGUCAACACAAGAUCAGCACCCCUGCUGGUGGACGCCAUUGGGGGUCGGCCUCCUCUGGGACGCUGCUGCAUCCAAAUGUGUAUGUGUUUGAUAAGGCUUGAGAAACGUGUGUGUGUGUGUGUGUGUGUGCGGGUGCAUUUUGACUUAAGUGUAUACAUCAUAAAUAUGUUUGUGUCUAAUGUGAAUGUUAGGGGCCAGUGUCUGGGCCUUUUUUUGGGGGCCAGGGGAGGGAGGUUAGUGUGGUGACAGCCUCAGCUGUGUUGAAUUGUGGGAGAAAAAGAGCUGACGCGACGGGAGUUGAUGUCUGACAUGACCUCUCUCAGCAGGCGCACCGCGGGGAGCUGGGAGCUGCCGCUGACUGUGUGUGCUUGUGUGUCCCUGUGUGUUAGUGGGAAAGUGAACAAGGAGUUAGAAAGUGAGCAAGAAAAACAACAAAAAACAACUUUUCUUUCACUGUCCUCCUACACAGCCAGCAAGGUCUCUGUGAAACAUCACCUUGAUGGAUGUGGCACUGGACUUUUCCUGCUGCGUAACUCAAUCUUCUCUUCUCCUUUCCUUCCUCUGCUUUCCAUUUUCUCUCCCUCCAUAUCAUAUACCUCUUCUUGACCUUCUCGCUCUUUGUUGGUGUCCCUGUGCUCGCUUCUUCCCUCUCUUUCUCCCUCGCUCGGUCUCUCCUGAAGGUGCAUUCAGGCUGGUAAAGUGAUCUACAGGGUGCUAUGCCUCUGCUCAUUGUGCUCGCCAGUCUUCCCCAUUCUCUUUUACCCCUCCGUGCUCUUCACAGUUUCUUGUCUCAUCUCUAUUUGCAUCAUCCUUCUAUUCUUUCGUCCCUCAUUCUCUUCCACAUCCCCAGUCCGACACGCACACACACAAACACACACCUACGUCCCUUUCUAUUCACUGUCUCUCCUCUCUGGGUCCAGUGCUUUGCCAUCAGUCUGAUAAGUGCCAACAAAGGUCCCACUGUCUAGUGUGACCCUCUAUUCUUCCCCCCGUCCCCUCUCUCUCCUUCUCCCUCCAUCCUGAAGCAGCCAAGCGUGAGGUAAAGAGGAGGGGACAUUUAUCUGGUGCACACACCCCAACGUCUUUUACCGUUACCCCCUUCUUUUUCUCCUCUUUCUCCCCAUCAUACUUUUUUGUUUUGUUGCAUGGUUCCACUCACGUCCUCUCGCUUCGUUCAACUUUCUGUCAUUCUCUGCCCUUUUCCUCUAACUUUGCUCAGCUUGCAGGGAAACUUUGUUCUCCAUGCGAUCAAAAUGGAUGCUGAUGCUUUUAAUGUGGGACAAUGGGACAGAUCUGAGACUUUAGCCAGUCCAUGCAGUCUCGUCUCUCCACUGAUCCUUCCAUCUUUUCCUGCUACCACCUACAUCUGCUUUUCGUCUUCACCCCAAUCCUUAAUCAAUUAAUCCUUGUAAAUUUCUUACUACAUUUCUUUUUGCUGUUUAUUUUGAACAUUUCAGGAUCGUUCACAACAGGGAUGCAGGCAAUGUUCCCUCUAAUUUUUCAUGAGUCUGAGCAAACACACAAACUCCUUGAGCGUCCCUUGGACCACUGUGAGCAACAUCAGAUGUGUGCACUGUGGUCACACCAGCAUCACAUCCAUUCAAGUUAAAUGGUUUAUUAAAAGAAUCAAAUUACAGCAUUUACAUUUCUGUUAAAACACUUUGUCAACAGGAGCCAGUUGAAGGCUGCAGUGAUUUUAGUGACACUACAAUGUAUAAGAGUGAAGUUAUUGAAUAUGUGUCUCUCUUUACUGUUGCAGUGGUUUUGCAAAUUGCAGACGGACCCUGUUCACUCCAUAGACACCAAUGUUAUUCCUGCAGCUUGAAAGACAGCUACUUUUGAUAAAACUGGGCUUGUAGCACAUUGUCUGCCUUGCAACAAUGGGAAAGAGGCACCGUUUAUGUUUUGACAACCUAUAUCUAAUGAGUUAUUGAUGCUGGAAGUCUGAAUCUGUGAAUAUCUUUCCAACUUUACUGAACUUGGGGCCACUACCACCUAAGGAGUGAUAUAUUUAAUUUCGAAAAAAGCAUUUAGCCAUACUUAAAGCUUUAAGUGCUUUAUUAACACGGAACUAAAAAUUUUGUAUUGUUUUAUUAUCACAGGUUCUGUCUGAAAAGAGGUGGCAUCAUUUUAAACAGUGAAAUCAAACUAACAAAAUGUAAUGACCAACCAGUGAGCAAUACUGGAUUCUGCAAAAACAUGAACAGCUUUUUUAAAAAUCUAAAUCUUAUCUUAACACAGUUAAUGUAUUAACUUAUUUAUGUGUGUAUGCAUGUAUUUAUUGAUUUAUUUAGUACUGUUAACAUAUCAGAGUUCUGAGUGAAUUUUUCUUAAGAUAGGCAAAGGCCAUUUAUUGAUUACAUAUAGGCUAUUAAAUGUUUAUCAAAAACUAAAAAGCAUUUAAAAAAAACAACUUAGGCAUUUAUUGAGUCACUAAAAUACUGUAGAGUACAGACCACAUCAGCAUGAUUAUAAGCAUCCUCUGGUAAAUUAACAACCAGAUACUGAUGUCUCUCACCAUAUGGACUUCAGGAGAUGACUGGGGGAUGAUAAACUGUGACCUACUGGUUGGGUUCUCUCUGUUCUCAUGUUUCUUACAUGUUUGUCCCCUGACAGCCGGGUCCUAAUGUUUUUUGAGCAACACACCAUACUAUGACGUUUUUACAAUGAUGGUUCUACUAUGGAACCAGUUUGACAUGUUCAGCUGUUCUUUGUGUGAAAACUCAGAGAUUUCAGGUAUCAGAAGGUGGUUUUCAACUUUCUUUAUUAACUUUCUGCUUCAACUUUAAACUAAAUUUCCUUCACUAACCCAGCCCUCUGGACUUCCAGUAAGCUGUGUUCCUAUUGGCUGUCCAGGUGGCUGCUUGGUGUUAUCAGGAACACCUGAGCAGCUCAGUGUCUUCCUGCUUUAUGUGGCUGCAGACAAACAUUUCCUCUGUUUCUCUUCACCACUGAACUGGGUUUGGCUCUGUUGCUUUAGUUUGUUAGGCGUUGGCUUGCAGCUUCCAGCAGUAAAAUCGUCUUUAAUGUGUUUCUUGGUGUGUUUUAGGGCUUUGUACUGGAUAGUUGUCUUGGUAAAUGUGGUUCUUUAGCCACAGUUAGUACAUGGUGCUAAUGUGUGCAGUGAUUAGUGGAUUUGGUGCAGCUGAGUUGUGUCUUUAUCUUGGCUGUAGUGAGUCUUCAGAGGUUUUUGGUCAGACACAUUCUGUAUUCUUGUUUGUGAAGCAACGUUGGUUGUCCAGAAGGUAAGAGCUCCUGUCCUGGUUCUCUGUUCUCAGAGGUUCUCUGGUAGGCUGCAGGAGACUUUAGCGUUUGGGUUGUGCUAGUUUGGUUUUUGUAUGGUUUCAUUUGGACGACUAUCUUGAGGCCCCUCCAUGUGGUUUAGUGAGGUUUUCUGCAACAGUUCUACAAAGCAACCUGCAGCAGAAGAGACUUUGAGAGUUUUUAGGAAGUUCUGGAGAGCAGACUUUAGAGCAGCAGAAACAUUUGUCAGCAGUUUGAGCAGGAGAAGGUGAGCUUCAGAGUAGAAAUGAGAUGGAAACCUUCUUGAUCCGUGUGGUGAGGUCCUGUACCAAGAGUUUGAGCAGGUUGUCAAGAGUCUGUAGUUCUUUGGUCUGAAAGCACAAGAAGAGUCGACUCAUUAAAGGAGAAAACAGGAGAUAUUGUUGGUUCUUCUGUCGCUCUGCAGUUUCCUUAGACUGAAUAUCAAGUUUAUAUUUUAAAUGAUUUCCCAUGUGAGCCCAAGAAUACUUCAAUAAACUCCCACCAUCCCCUGGACACAACAUAUUUUAUUACGAUGUUAAUUAUUUUUUUUCCUGUUUGAGUUUUACUCAUAGUUAUAGCAUAGUUUUUUUUCUCUUUGCUUGUUUAGUUUUGUAAUCUGUGUGAAAGGUGUUAAACAAAUAAAGCUGAAUUGAUAAACUGAAUAAUUGACUAACUCAUGAUUGUGACAAUAGAAGUAUUUUCAUUGUGAUUUAAGGGUUUGUUUCAUUUUUAUGGUUGGGGUUAAAAUCUUGACAGAAAAAAAAGAUUAAAGAAAUAAACUACAGUAAAAAAGCAAUUAAAUCAAAGCAAAAAAACAUUUAAUAUAAUAAAACUUUUCAAAAGAAAAUUAAACAUUAAAUACAAUUAAAUUAUAUUAGACAAAAUAUUUAAUUAGAUAAUUAAACAGAA